rnacentral:rRNA from 1 species
AGAUCAAAUUGUUGGUCGUGCCUUGGUACGUACUAGCUUAUUGAUUUCUCCCUUCUGACGAACCAUGACGUCAUUAAUUUGGUGUCAUGGGGAAUUAGGACUGUUACUUUGAAAAAAUUAGAGUGUUUAAAGCAGGCUCGCGCUUGAAUACAUUAGCAUGGAAUAAUGAAAUAGGACGUUUAAUUCUAUUUUGUUGGUUUCUAGGAUUGACGUA